CUCUAUCAUAUUAAUUUUUUGAAGUUUUACCAUUCUCCUGCACUCUUUAUUUCUGUUUGAGAGAAAUCUCAGAAGAUACUUUAAUUGGACUUAUUUUUUCUUAUUAUAGCUUUUUAUUAUCUCAUUAAUCAAUCUUAACAAGACGUAUUUUUGAUUGCCCACUGGCAGUGCUUAUCUUUCUGUGUUCUAUAUUUGAAGUACCAAUCUGUGAAGAAAAGUUAUUCAUUGUCCUUUGCUCUGUGAAAAAAGGCAUUACCUCUAUCAGUUACUUGGAGUUUCAAUCACUGCCAAAACAAAGUAGAAAGCCAUUCUGCCACCCCUUCCCCCUGCCCUCCAUCCCAGCUGUCUCUAAUCUAAUGAAAGGGCCGAGGGAAUAAAUUGCCACUUAGGGACACCUGCCCUUCCCCACCAAGCCACAGUUACCAGCUCCUCUGUGCCCUGCUGUAUUUAGCAACAAGAACUUUUUACAGACUCAAGAAUUUGUUGCAGAUUUUCUGAUGUAGGACCAACUUUAAACAGUGAAAUAGUUGUGCUGUUCAGCGAUGCAGGUCACAUAAAUACUAUGUUCAACACAGAGGAUUUACAGCGCCCGCUGACCAUCCGGCCGUGCUUUCUGCCAGCACGCCGAGAGGCCUGCCAUCAAAACGAGCACAAAAAACGGGGACGUGCAGCUAUACGAAGCAACGCAGUGUGCCAAACAGACAGACCGCCAAACGCAGCGUUGUUGCUUAUUUCAUUGACCAUCUCCAUCUUCCUGCUGAAGCGAGGAGUCUGACCGCUGACCACUAGAUGACACUGUUGUAUAAGGCCACGCUCAGCAUAAUGGCUUUAACAAUAACUAAUUUACUUAGGGAACAUGUAUGUGUAUAAUUAGGAGUCAUCAAUGUCUUUCUUUUAAAAUAAAAUAAGUUUACCAUACCCAAUUAGAUAUUUCUUCCAAGAUGAAUUUCAUUCUAAUUGGGUAAAGCUAUGCUACUGGCUUAAAACAUGGCAAAGGGUGUAUUUGUAUCCACUUCCACGGUUUCCAUAUUUUUUUAGUUCUUGCAAUAAAUGGAUCUGAUUACACCUUUUAAAUCGAUGUUCUCUCAAACUGGUAUGACAUAAAUGAUUGUUCUGUCAUUGUGAUUUUACUGCCAUUGUUUUCGGUGUGUGAGGUUUGUUAGUGAUAUCUCUCUUAAUCUCGUUCUGUCUUUCCCCCAUCCUCCUGAUUGUGAUCUUGAAUCUGCAUGUUCUUUCCAUCAAAACUGAAGUAAUCUAUUUAAAGAGGCAACGACUGCCACCAUGCAUGACUGUAGCCUGACCAUGACACUGCAGGCUUUCGAGCAGCUGUGAGAUCAGUAAUCCCCGGCUAAUGAACGAGAGCUCCAAAAUGUCCGUUGUCUGGGGGUUUUCUUUAAAAGCUCGGAUUUCCUGUAACUGAGCAUUGCCAAUGGAAAAUCUAGUUUCUACAGAUGUCAGACUAAAUUCAACCUAGGUAAAAUGCAAAUUCGGUGCUUUUCUAUAGGGAAAAUGAAUGCAUUUAAGCUUCUGUGUGAAUUCAGGACCAGCUAGGCAGAGCCACACCCAGCAUGGACAAGGCUUACAUCCCUUCCCAAAGAAAUUUCAUUAAUGCCUGAAUUUGCUUUGCCAGCUGAGUUCUGGAUAUUCCCACCAAAAUGCCGUGUCAUGUGCCAGUGCAAGAACUAUGCUCAAUUUACAGUUUUGGUACAGGUGAUCAGCUCUGGUGACUACGGACAGGGACACCGCCAGUUUCACCUUGUGCCUGUUCCUAUCAGUCCAUUCCUGUGGCUGCCUGAACAGAACUUGUCUAUUAAAUCUUGAUGGCAUCUUUUAAAUUAAUUUCAGUUCUCUUCUGGAAGAAAAAAAAAAAAAAAAAAAAGCUACUCCUGCAACAAAAUAAUGGCAAAGUCAUCUGAGAAUAAUGUUCAAAACGUGUUUUAUAACUACAUAGUACCUCAGAAGUAGCUUGUCUGUCUAACCCAUUUGUGCAAUGCUUUUUGUGCUAUCCCAGUAUCUCAUAUACAAAAUUAUGGGCUAUUAUAUUAAGUCAGAUCUGUGUCUUAUUUAUUGAAGUGUUGGUUCACUAAAUAAAGGAUCUCAGUGAUGAUUUGAGCUGGCUAAAAACCUGCUUGAAAAUUAUAUAUUUCAGCUAAAGGUUUUCAACAAGCUCUAUUUUUGAAGCUGAAGUGCUUCAAUUCCCAAUGACCAAAUUCAUUAAAAUAUAAAUUAGCCUAAAGAAACAGAUGAAUUUCAAUGGAGUAUUUGCAUAUCAUAUUUGGUGUGAAUGUAACAGUUUCUUCAUGUAGACUAACAGCUACUGCAAUCUUCAGAGCCCCAUGGUUGAGUAAAUGACUGUGGGGAGAAUGAAGAAGCAACGAGGACAAAGAUGAAAAUUAUUUGUACUAAAUGUGAAAGAAUAUUGCAGCCUGAAUUAAAGCAUGUGUUAAAACAGUUUCCUCAACUAAGACAUAUCUUAGCUAAUCAGUUAAGCAUCGGAGGUAUAUACAUGUCAAAGUGUUCCAAUCACAGAAAGAGAUUUAAGAAAAUGAAUGUCAUGUUUCAAUUGUAUUUUCAGAAUUGUAGAUAAUUAGUGAUUAUUGCAAAAAGGGAGAAUAUGAUCUAAGGAAUAAAGGUGGAGAGAAAUCAGGCUGGGUGGAUUACAGUGUCAUACCUCUGGGGAGUUAAAUGAUCCACCUGUGGUAAAGACCUUUGCAUCCGCAAAAGGCAGGAAUAGAAAUUACUCAUAAAGUUUGACCUGUUGUUCUGUAAGUAAUAUAGCAGAGACUCCAAUACGGGCUAUCUUGUCAAUUCCUUUUAAUAAAUGAAGCUGAACUGA